rnacentral:rRNA from 1 species
GACGAACGCUGGCGGCGCGCCUAACACAUGCAAGUCGAACGGAGCUUAAAGAGCUUGCUUUUUAAGCUUAGUGGCGAACGGGUGAGUAACGCGUGAGUAACCUGCCCUAGAGUGGGGGACAACAGUUGGAAACGACUGCUAAUACCGCAUAAGCCCACGGUACCGCAUGGCACUGAGGGAAAAGGAUUUAUUCGCUUUAGGAUGGACUCGCGUCCAAUUAGCUAGUUGGUGAGGUAACGGCCCACCAAGGCGACGAUUGGUAGCCGGACUGAGAGGUUGAACGGCCACAUUGGGACUGAGACACGGCCCAGACUCCUACGGGAGGCAGCAGUGGGGGAUAUUGCACAAUGGGGGAAACCCUGAUGCAGCGACGCCGCGUGGAGGAAGAAGGUUUUCGGAUUGUAAACUCCUGUCGUUAGGGACGAUAAUGACGGU